CCUACGGGAGGCAGCAGUGGGGAAUAUUGCACAAUGGGCGAAAGCCUGAUGCAGCAACGCCGCGUGAGCGAUGAAGGCCUUCGGGUCGUAAAGCUCUGUCCUCAAGGAAGAUAAUGACGGUACUUGAGUAGGCCGCCCCGGCUAACUACGUGCCAGCCGCCGCGGUACUACGUAGGGGGCUAGCGUUAUCCGGAAUUACUGGGCGUAAAGGGUGCGUAGGUGGUUUCUUAAGUCAGAGGUGAAAGGCUACGGCUCAACCGUAGUAAGCCUUUGAAACUGGGAAACUUGAGUGCAGGAGAGGAGAGUGGAAUUCCUAGUGGAGCGGUGAAAUGCGUAGAUAUUAGGAGGAACACCAGUUGCGAAGGCGGCUCGCUGGACUGUAACGGACACUGAGGCACGAAAGCGUGGGGAGCAAACAGGAUUAGAUACCCUGGUAGGC
rnacentral:rRNA from 1 species